rnacentral:rRNA from 1 species
AGCGGCGGACGGGUGAGUAAUGUCUGGGAAACUGCCUGAUGGAGGGGGAUAACUACUGGAAACGGUAGCUAAUACCGCAUAAUGUCGCAAGACCAAAGUGGGGGACCUUCGGGCCUCAUGCCAUCAGAUGUGCCCAGAUGGGAUUAGCUAGUAGGUGGGGUAACGGCUCACCUAGGCGACGAUCCCUAGCUGGUCUGAGAGGAUGACCAGCCACACUGGAACUGAGACACGGUCCAGACUCCUACGGGAGGCAGCAGUGGGGAAUAUUGCACAAUGGGCGCAAGCCUGAUGCAGCCAUGCCGCGUGUGUGAAGAAGGCCUUCGGGUUGUAAAGCACUUUCAGCGGGGAGGAAGGCGUUAAGGUUAAUAACCUUGGCGAUUGACGUUACCCGCAAGAAGAAGCACCGGCUAACUCCGUGCCAGCAGCCGCGGUAAUACGGAGGGUGCAAGCGUUAAUCGGAAUUACUGGGCGUAAAGCGCACGCAGGCGGUCUGUCAAGUCGGAUGUGAAAUCCCCGGGCUCAACCUGGGAACUGCAUUCGAAACUGGCAGGCUAGAGUCUUGUAGAGGGGGGUAGAAUUCCAGGUGUAGCGGUGAAAUGCGUAGAGAUCUGGAGGAAUACCGGUGGCGAAGGCGGCCCCCUGGACAAAGACUGACGCUCAGGUGCGAAAGCGUGGGGAGCAAACAGGAUUAGAUACCCUGGUAGUCCACGCCGUAAACGAUGUCGAUUUGGAGGUUGUGCCCUUGAGGCGUGGCUUCCGGAGCUAACGCGUUAAAUCGACCGCCUGGGGAGUACGGCCGCAAGGUUAAAACUCAAAUGAAUUGACGGGGGCCCGCACAAGCGGUGGAGCAUGUGGUUUAAUUCGAUGCAACGCGAAGAACCUUACCUGGUCUUGACAUCCACAGAACUUUCCAGAGAUGGAUUGGUGCCUUCGGGAACUGUGAGACAGGUGCUGCAUGGCUGUCGUCAGCUCGUGUUGUGAAAUGUUGGGUUAAGUCCCGCAACGAGCGCAACCCUUAUCCUUUGUUGCCAGCGGUUAGGCCGGGAACUCAAAGGAGACUGCCAGUGAUAAACUGGAGGAAGGUGGGGAUGACGUCAAGUCAUCAUGGCCCUUACGACCAGGGCUACACACGUGCUACAAUGGCAUAUACAAAGAGAAGCGACCUCGCGAGAGCAAGCGGACCUCAUAAAGUAUGUCGUAGUCCGGAUUGGAGUCUGCAACUCGACUCCAUGAAGUCGGAAUCGCUAGUAAUCGUAGAUCAGAAUGCUACGGUGAAUACGUUCCCGGGCCUUGUACACACCGCCCGUCACACCAUGGGAGUGGGUUGCAAAAGAAGUAGGUAGCUUAACCUUCGGGAGGGCGCUUACCACUGUG